rnacentral:rRNA from 1 species
UACGGAGGAUGCGAGCGUUAUCCGGAUUUAUUGGGUUUAAAGGGUGCGUAGGCGGGAUGCCAAGUCAGCGGUAAAAAUGCGGUGCUCAACGCCGUCGAGCCGUUGAAACUGGCGUUCUUGAGUGGGCGAGAAGUAUGCGGAAUGCGUGGUGUAGCGGUGAAAUGCAUAGAUAUCGCGCAGAACUCCGAUUGCGAAGGCAGCGUACCGGCGCCGGACUGACGCUGAGGCACGAAAGCGUGGGUAUCGAACAGG